UACGUAGGGUGCGAGCGUUAAUCGGAAUUACUGGGCGUAAAGCGUGCGCAGGCGGUUUUGUAAGCCAGAUGUGAAAUCCCCGGGCUUAACCUGGGAAUGGCAUUUGGGACUGCAAGGCUCGAGUGCGGCAGAGGAGACUGGAAUUCCUGGUGUAGCAGUGAAAUGCGCAGAUAUCGGGAGGAACACCAAUGGCGAAGGCAGCUCGCUGGGACGGUACUGACGCUGAGGCGCGAAAGCGUGGGGAGCAAACAGG
rnacentral:rRNA from 1 species